UAGAUAAGGAGCUGUUAGCGUUUUCAUUGUUAAUGAAGGGAAGAUAAGA
rnacentral:tRNA from 1 species